GACGAACGCUGGCGGCGUGCUUAACACAUGCAAGUCGAGCGGUAAGGCCCUUCCGGGGGUACACGAGCGGCGAACGGGUGAGUAACACGUGGGUGACCUGCCCUUAGCUCUGGGAUAAGCCUGGGAAACUGGGUCUAAUACCGGAUAUGACUCCAUGACGCAUGUUGUGGGGUGGAAAGCCUUGUGCGGCUAGGGAUGGGCCCGCGGCCUAUCAGCUUGUUGGUGGGGUGAUGGCCUACCAAGGCGACGACGGGUAGCCGGCCUGAGAGGGCGACCGGCCACACUGGGACUGAGACACGGCCCAGACUCCUACGGGAGGCAGCAGUGGGGAAUCUUGCGCAAUGGGCGAAAGCCUGACGCAGCGACGCCGCGUGAGGGAUGACGGCCU
rnacentral:rRNA from 1 species